GCUCUAGACGAUGAAGAGAUGAACGCCUACAUCAUCGCUGGCCUCGACGCCGACUUUGAGCCAGUGGUGUCCUCCAUAGUCGGGAGAUCACAUCCUGUUCCUGUCUCGGAAGUUUACGCACAACUUCUGAGCUUUGAGA